UUUCCCCAGAAUUCUGGUGGUCCCAACUCUUUGAACUGCUUGGCCGUGACAAAUCGUGCGUUGUUAUCAUUUCCAACUGUAUUUUGUGCACGAGUCUCCCUCGUCUGAUUUUGCAUGAACUGCAAAAAACUUCUAAACAUCCCGUCGUUCAUCAUCUGCUCAGUGGCGUUGUUCACAGGAGGAACAUUGCCAGCCUGCUGCACGUUCUCCUCAUUGGUGAGUACAGG
rnacentral:lncRNA from 1 species